CAUCCUGCCGUGUCAUCUUAAGAUCAGCUUCCCACACGCCUAAUCAUAACCUAACCUGUCAUUUUCUAAACAGGCCUCGUAAUGGACUGACUGGUUUUUCCCCGGGAACAUAUUCCAGAUCUGCAGUGGAACCUGAGCAGGAAAUUCGUCAAUUUGGAUUUUAUUACAAGGUGUGAGGAACUUUGUUGGUGGAACACUGGGAUGAACUUCUAAAGAAUUAGAGACAGAACCAAAAGAACUAAAAAAAAGAAUGUUAAACAGCCACGAGAGGGAGUCUCCACACUGUCAUGAUGUCCCGUGCACCGUAAACAAGGCGUGUCUGCACAAUACACUGCACUAUAAGGACGGUCCCAGGUCCGGUACUCCUCCCCGAUGCUGGCUCAGACCCGCUAUGAUGGGUUCGGCAUUGCGCGUGAGGCUCUCGGUCCGCGCGCGCAGGUCUUUUACCACCCAGAAGCCGAGCGCGGCUCCAGACAGG